CUACCAUGGCUUUUACGGGUAACGGAGGAUUAGGGUUCGAUUCCGGAGAGGGAGCCUGAGAAACGGCUACCACAUCUAAGGAAGGCAGCAGGCGCGUAAAUUACCCAAUCCUGACUCAGGGAGGUAGUGACAAGAAAUAACGGGCCGGGGUUACACCUCGGGACUGCAAUGAGACGAAUUUACACCCCUUAUCGAUCACCAAUUGGAGGGCAAGUCUGGUGCCAGCAGCCGCGGUAAUUCCAGCUCCAAUAGCGUAUAUUAAAGUUGUUGCAGUUAAAAAGCUCGUAGUUGGAUUUCUGGCAGGGGGUAGGAGCCCGCUUGCAGCGUGCGCUCGCCAUCCCCUACCAUCCUUCUGUUAACGUGUCAAGACAUUCACUUGUCGGGCACGGGCUCAGAUAAUCUACCUUGAGAAAAUUAGAGUGUUUCAGGCAGGCUGAUGCCGGGAUACAUUAGCAUGGAAUAAUGGAAUAGGACUUUCGCCUCUUCUGUUGGUCUGAGGGGUGAUCGUAAUGAUUAAUAGGGAUAGUUGGGGGCAUUAGUACUUAACUGUCAGAGGUGAAAUUCUCGGAUUUGUUAAAGACUAACUUAUGCGAAAGCAUUUGCCAAGGAUGUUUUCAUUAAUCAA
rnacentral:rRNA from 1 species